UACGUAGGGUGCAAGCGUUGUCCGGAAUUAUUGGGCGUAAAGAGCUCGUAGGCGGUUUGUCACGUCGGCUGUGAAAACUCGGGGCUCAACCCCGAGCCUGCAGUCGAUACGGGCAGACUAGAGUGCGGUAGGGGAGACUGGAAUUCCUGGUGUAGCGGUGAAAUGCGCAGAUAUCAGGAGGAACACCGGUGGCGAAGGCGGGUCUCUGGGCCGUAACUGACGCUGAGGUGCGAAAGCGUGGGGAGCAAACAGG
rnacentral:rRNA from 1 species